GACGAACGCUUGCGGCGUGCUUAACACAUGCAAGUCGAACGGAAAGGCCCUGCUUUUGUGGGGUGCUCGAGUGGCGAACGGGUGAGUAACACGUGAGUAACCUGCCCUUGACUUUGGGAUAACUUCAGGAAACUGGGGCUAAUACCGGAUAGGAGCUCCUGCUGCAUGGUGGGGGUUGGAAAGUUUCGGCGGUUGGGGAUGGACUCGCGGCUUAUCAGCUUGUUGGUGGGGUAGUGGCUUACCAAGGCUUUGACGGGUAGCCGGCCUGAGAGGGUGACCGGCCACAUUGGGACUGAGAUACGGCCCAGACUCCUACGGGAGGCAGCAGUGGGGAAUAUUGCACAAUGGGCGGAAGCCUGAUGCAGCAACGCCGCGUGCGGGAGGACGGCCUUCGGGUUGUAAACCGCUUUCGCCUGUGACGAAGCGUGAGUGACGGUAAUGGGUAAAGAAGCACCGGCUAACUACGUGCCAGCAGCCGCGGUGAUACGUAGGGUGCGAGCGUUGUCCGGAUUUAUUGGGCGUAAAGGGCUCGUAGGUGGUUGAUCGCGUCGGAAGUGUAAUCUUGGGGCUUAACCCUGAGCGUGCUUUCGAUACGGGUUGACUUGAGGAAGGUAGGGGAGAAUGGAAUUCCUGGUGGAGCGGUGGAAUGCGCAGAUAUCAGGAGGAACACCAGUGGCGAAGGCGGUUCUCUGGGCCUUUCCUGACGCUGAGGAGCGAAAGCGUGGGGAGCGAACAGGCUUAGAUACCCUGGUAGUCCACGCUGUAAACGGUGGGUACUAGGUGUGGGGUCCAUUCCACGGGUUCCGUGCCGUAGCUAACGCUUUAAGUACCCCGCCUGGGGAGUACGGCCGCAAGGCUAAAACUCAAAGGAAUUGACGGGGCCCCGCACAAGCGGCGGAGCAUGCGGAUUAAUUCGAUGCAACGCGUAGAACCUUACCUGGGUUUGACAUGGAUCGGGAGUGCUCAGAGAUGGGUGUGCCUCUUUUGGGGUCGGUUCACAGGUGGUGCAUGGCUGUCGUCAGCUCGUGUCGUGAGAUGUUGGGUUAAGUCCCGCAACGAGCGCAACCCUUGUUCACUGUUGCCAGCACGUUAUGGUGGGGACUCAGUGGAGACCGCCUGGGUCAACUCGGAGGAAGGUGGGGAUGACGUCAAGUCAUCAUGCCCCUUAUGUCCAGGGCUUCACGCAUGCUACAAUGGCUGGUACAGAGAGUGGCGAGCCUGUGAGGGUGAGCGAAUCUCGGAAAGCCGGUCUCAGUUCGGAUUGGGGUCUGCAACUCGACCUCAUGAAGUCGGAGUCGCUAGUAAUCGCAGAUCAGCAACGCUGCGGUGAAUACGUUCCCGGGGCU
rnacentral:rRNA from 1 species